rnacentral:lncRNA from 1 species
UGUGGCGCCGGGCCACUACCGGCCGCCCGCGAGGGCUCUGCGCGGCCGCUCGGCGCGCGCGCUCCGGCGGGGAGCAGGCGACAACUAAUGGAGACAUUUCCAGGCGGAGCACCUGGCGAGCGGAGCGCGCCGGCGUCCCCAGGCGCCGCGGUCGUCAGCAGAGCCCGCACCGGCGUGACGUGGGCGAGCGAGCGCGCUGCUCCCACCCGGCCGCCCAUUAACGCUUUCCCCCGCGGGCGCCGUGCUCUUGCCAACUUUGCCCUCCGCGCGGCUCGCGCGUCGGCCGUCUGCAGACACUGGAGGGGCAGUGCAUAUCGCUUGCUUCAGCAACAGCACACCGGGACAGUCUGUCUCCAGGCCUCAUCUGUCCCUCCAUUUCCUCCAUGGAGCAGAGCUUCCAUCCGGAAAAAGAAGAGAGCUAGCAGCCCCAGGCUUGCCUCCCCUCGUGCUGAGUCCAGAGCUUCUGGUGUCUUCUCUGGGAAGGACACAGUGUUGGUCUCUGGGCCUGCUCUGGAAACACGAAGCCUCAUCUGAGCUACAGACCUGUGGGCAUCCGCCCAGACAUGCCAUGUGUCACUGUAGCCCACAGGCUGACUCCAUGGGCUGACGGAAGGGGUCCUGGGAAGGGGUGCGUACUAGGUAGGGAUGGGGAGGAAAGGGCCAUGGCACCCUCCUCGGGGAGAGGGGUUGGCUUCCAUCCUUGUCUUGAGGUUCAGCUCUCUUCUUUCCGUCUCCUCCCUCAUGCCCUGAGGGAUGCUCUCUGCAGGACCCUGGGGCCAACAGGGACAAGCAUGUCCAUCCUGCCCUGCAGAGCUUACCUGGGACUUAGAUUCUUUUCAUAGCUGAAGAUGAGCCAGGCAGGCUUGUGUUUACAAUCUCGAUCUGGAGAUAAACUCCUUUCGAAUUCACCAAGGCCUCUUCAACAACACAACAAACAAACAUGGGGAAGCAGGAGGCGAAGCCCCACAACCCCUGGGGUUUCCCUAGCUGGCCCCCACCAGCACCCCCAGAAGCAACAGAACCAGCCCAGGAGGGGCAACGUGCAGUGGGCUCCCUGGCCCGUCCCUUCACCCGCCUCCCCCAGAGACCCUCCUCGGUGUCCCAUUGCUUGAACGCGGCCAGGCCAGACCUUGCCUCGGACCCCUGACCAAGUGACCGGAAGCACCAGCAGACAUCCUCCACCCCUCGGCCAUUGACCUCCAGGGCAGGGAGUGGCCCCAGCCCUCUUGUCAGGUUGCCAUGCCCUCCUGGGCUGGAACUCUGAGGACAUGAUGGAAAUACCCCAGGUCUCGGCCCGGGGGCCUGGCGGGGAAAGUCCCCGCUUGGCGUCAGUGAAUGAUCAGUCUGGAAAGCGAGUCUGCAGCUUUGGCCACCCCUGAAGGACAGAAGUCCUCCCGGGGGCUGACCUGCGGAUAGGCCCUGGCACGUGCGCUGCAGGGCAACAAGGCCAACGGCUGCCCCCACCAACCACCAUGCCCCCAGCUCUGGUCAGUCCUUGCUCCCCAUGGAGCAUCUCUCAAUCCCUCUUUUGUUU